rnacentral:rRNA from 1 species
GAACGAAGCAAUUUAACGGAAGUUUUCGGACGGAAGUUGAAUUGACUGAGUGGCGGACGGGUGAGUAACGCGUGGGUAACCUGCCUUGUACUGGGGGACAACAGUUAGAAAUGACUGCUAAUACCGCAUAAGCGCACAGUAUCGCAUGAUACGGUGUGAAAAACUCCGGUGGUACAAGAUGGACCCGCGUCUGAUUAGCUAGUUGGUAAGGUAACGGCUUACCAAGGCGACGAUCAGUAGCCGACCUGAGAGGGUGACCGGCCACAUUGGGACUGAGACACGGCCCAAACUCCUACGGGAGGCAGCAGUGGGGAAUAUUGCACAAUGGGCGAAAGCCUGAUGCAGCGACGCCGCGUGAGUGAAGAAGUAUUUCGGUAUGUAAAGCUCUAUCAGCAGGGAAGAAAAUGACGGUACCUGACUAAGAAGCCCCGGCUAACUACGUGCCAGCAGCCGCGGUAAUACGUAGGGGGCAAGCGUUAUCCGGAUUUACUGGGUGUAAAGGGAGCGUAGACGGUAAAGCAAGUCUGAAGUGAAAGCCCGCGGCUCAACUGCGGGACUGCUUUGGAAACUGUUUAACUGGAGUGUCGGAGAGGUAAGUGGAAUUCCUAGUGUAGCGGUGAAAUGCGUAGAUAUUAGGAGGAA